GAGAUAUAACUCAGUUGGUAGAGUGCUUGCCUGACAUGUAUAAGGCCCUGGGUUCAAUCCCCAGCACACA
rnacentral:tRNA from 1 species